rnacentral:rRNA from 1 species
AGCGGUAGAGAGAAGCUUGCUUCUCUUGCCAGCGGCGGACGGGUGAGUAAUGCCUAGGAAUCUGCCUGGUAGUGGGGGAUAACGUUCGGAAACGAACGCUAAUACCGCAUACGUCCUACGGGAGAAAGCAGGGGACCUUCGGGCCUUGCGCUAUCAGAUGAGCCUAGGUCGGAUUAGCUAGUUGGUGAGGUAAUGGCUCACCAAGGCGACGAUCCGUAACUGGUCUGAGAGGAUGAUCAGUCACACUGGAACUGAGACACGGUCCAGACUCCUACGGGAGGCAGCAGUGGGGAAUAUUGGACAAUGGGCGAAAGCCUGAUCCAGCCAUGCCGCGUGUGUGAAGAAGGUCUUCGGAUUGUAAAGCACUUUAAGUUGGGAGGAAGGGCCAUUACCUAAUACGUGAUGGUUUUGACGUUACCGACAGAAUAAGCACCGGCUAACUCUGUGCCAGCAGCCGCGGUAAUACAGAGGGUGCAAGCGUUAAUCGGAAUUACUGGGCGUAAAGCGCGCGUAGGUGGUUUGUU